UGCAUUUUGGGGUGACAUUUUGCCCUUGGUUUAGCCUUUUAUCACUUUAGUUUACCUUUUAGAAUUUGUAAUAUCAAUUUUUUUUAAGACCUUUUGGGUAAUUCAGUGUUUACCAUCCCAACACAUGUCACCGUAUUGAUCUUCUUUCUUUCUCUCUCUUCUUUCUGUUUAUCCUUAUUCUCUGUAUCAUCUUUCCUUCACUCCAGUAGAAGAAUCGUCUUCAACUUCAUAUGUUAGUCGGAAGUGGUUGGACUCUUCGUCGUCCUGCUUCCGAUUUACAGUUUGGUCCCUGUUUUGGAUCAAAAGUCAGGGUAUUUUUGUCACUCUGCUCACUUCGUAUUUUCUGUAGCAAUCUUUUCACUUUGUGCGCUCUCCGAUACGCGCCUUUUCCGUCAACGUGGAAGACAAACCAAUUCUUGCUUCUGCUGCUGUCAGCUGUUUCUCCAAAUGUGUAACACUUGUAUUUCCAUGGAUAUCCGAUUAGGGGUGACGCUAAUAAUAUCUGCAAUAGCUUCUGUUCUGCUUUGGAUUUCCUGGCUUACUGCUCUGUUCCUUUUAGUGUCUCUACUUGCUGGCUGGAACAAGUGUCAUUUCGGAGACGUCACUACAAGUGGUCUCACUGGACGUUACCUAUCGCAAUUGGUUUACAUGGAUUUCCAAAAGCCUGGCCGUUGCUAAGGUUGUUUUCUAAUAUUAAGAAAUUGCAUCUUGAUAUGGAACAAUUAGUAUAAGAUGCAGAUGGUAAUUGCCUUACCAAUGGAAAGAGAAGUUUCAAAGAUAUUGCCACUAAUUACUGCCUAUCAUUAAAAUUGGAUAUGACUGAAGGAUCAUACUUUAUGAAUUUUCUGGUUAGUAGUGUUACUAUUGAAAGGCUCUGUCCAUUGGUUUUUCGAACAAGCAGUCGAAUGUUUCAUGAUUUACUCCAACAAAGGAUAGAUACCAAUUAUCUGCGGCAGAAUAGCCAAUUCAAUGGAUAUUUCACGUUGCCUUCAGAAGGAGUUUCAGAAAAAGGAGAAAGAUUCUCCAAUUAACUUUGUUUCUCCUAAUUUAAUUAUUAUGGAUGCAAGUGUUUUGCUGAAAAGUCACAGCACAACUACAGAGCAAAACAGUGAAGAUGUCGUUUCAAGAAGAAAGUGAUAAUAAAUCGGGUUCUACUUUCUUAACUCUGCUUUUUAGUAAUUUAAAAAUUUCUACCCUUUGUGUUUAUGAUGAAAUGCAAUUGAUAUAAAUAUUAGGGUAGAUAUUUAUUA